rnacentral:rRNA from 1 species
CAUGCAAGUCGAACGGAAAUCUUUUAGAUUUUAGUGGCGAACGGGUGAGUAACACGUAAGCAACCUGCCUUUAAGACGAGAAUAACAAUUGGAAACAGUUGCUAAGGCUGGAUAGGAAAUAAAAAGGCAUCUUUUUAUUUUUAAAAGACCUUUUUCGGAAGGUAUGCUUAAAGAGGGGCUUGCGUCACAUUAGUUAGUUGGUAGGGUAAUGGCCUACCAAGACGAUGAUGUGUAGCUGGACUGAGAGGUUGAACAGCCACAUUGGGACUGAGACACGGCCCAAACUCCUACGGGAGGCAGCAGUAGGGAAUUUUCGGCAAUGGAGGAAACUCUGACCGAGCAACGCCGCGUGAACGACGAAGUACUUCGGUAUGUAAAGUUCUUUUAUUGAAGAAGAAACGAUAGUGGAAAAACUAUCUUGACGUUAUUCAAUGAAUAAGCCCCGGCUAACUAUGUGCCAGCAGCCGCGGUAAUACAUAGGGGGCGAGCGUUAUCCGGAAUUAUUGGGCGUAAAGGGUGCGUAGGCGGUUUAAUAAGUCUCUAGUUUAAUUUCAACGCUUAACGUUGUUCUGCUAGAGAAACUGUUUGACUAGAGUGAGAUAGAGGUAAGCGGAAUUCCAUGUGUAGCGGUAAAAUGUGUAAAUAUAUGGAGGAACACCAGAGGCGUAGGCGGCUUACUGGGUCUUUACUGACGCUGAUGCACGAAAGCGUGGGGAGCAAACAGGAUUAGAUACCCUGGUAGUCCACGCCGUAAACUAUGAGUACUAAGUGUCGGGGUUAAACUCGGUACUGAAGUUAACACAUUAAGUACUCCGCCUGAGUAGUACGUACGCAAGUAUGAAACUUAAAGGAAUUGACGGGAUCCCGCACAAGCGGUGGAUCAUGUUGUUUAAUUCGAAGAUACACGAAAAACCUUACCAGGUCUUGACAUACUCUGCAAAACUAUAGAAGUAUAGUGGAGGUUAUCAGGGAUACAGGUGGUGCAUGGUUGUCGUCAGCUCGUGUCGUGAGAUGUUAGGUUAAGUUCUAAAACGAGCGCAACCCCUGUCGUUAAUUGCCAGCACGUUAUGGUGGGGACUUUAGCGAGACUGCCAAUGAAAAAUUGGAGGAAGGUGGGGAUUACGUCAAAUCAUCAUGCCCCUUAUGAUCUGGGCUACAAACGUGAUACAAUGGCUAUUACAAAGAGUGGCUUAAACGCGAGUUUUUGGCAAAUCUCAAAAAAAUAGUCUUAGUUCGGAUUGAAGUCUGCAACUCGACUUCAUGAAGUUGGAAUCGCUAGUAAUCGCGAAUCAGCAUGUCGCGGUGAAUACGUUCUCGGGGUUUGUACACACCGCCCGUCAAACCACGAAAGUGGACAAUACCCGAAAGCGACAGCCUAACUGCGUAAGC